UAGGGAAUCUUCGGCAAUGGACGGAAGUCUGACCGAGCAACGCCGCGUGAGUGAAGAAGGUUUUCGGAUCGUAAAGCUCUGUUGUAAGAGAAGAACGAGUGUGAGAGUGGAAAGUUCACACUGUGACGGUAUCUUACCAGAAAGGGACGGCUAACUACGUGCCAGCAGCCGCGGUAAUACGUAGGUCCCGAGCGUUGUCCGGAUUUAUUGGGCGUAAAGCGAGCGCAGGCGGUUAGAUAAGUCUGAAGUUAAAGGCUGUGGCUUAACCAUAGUAGGCUUUGGAAACUGUCAAACUUGAGUGCAGAAGGGGAGAGUGGAAUUCCAUGUGUAGCGGUGAAAUGCGUAGAUAUAUGGAGGAACACCGGUGGCGAAAGCGGCUCUCUGGCUUGUAACUGACGCUGAGGCUCGAAAGCGUGGGGAGCAAACAGGAUUAGAUACCCUGGUAGUCCACGCCGUAAACGAUGAGUGCUAGGUGUUAGACCCUUUCCGGGGUUUAGUGCCGCAGCUAACGCAUUAAGCACUCCGCCUGGGGAGUACGACCGCAAGGUUG
rnacentral:rRNA from 1 species